rnacentral:sRNA from 1 species
CUUCAGCCGCUUCCCUCGAGCCUGCAGUGCGCAAGCGCGGGACAUCUCCGUUUCCCUCCCUCAGCCCCUUCCCCCCCUACCCCCCCGCCCCGGCCUCCUUUCCCCUUCACGAAGCCGGCUCUGGGGCGCGCUCACCCCUGUGAGGAGGCCGGAGGUCGGACUCAGGAGGCUCCUUCUCCACUCCCGGAAGAUCAUGUACCAGCCCAGCCGGGGUGCGGCCCGGCGUCUCGGCCCUUGCCUGCGCGCCUACCAGGCUCGACCCCAGGAAAGGGGGAGGAGGGACCAGGACCUGAGUUGCAUAGCGGCUGCCUGGAUGGGCUUAGAAGCCUUUUUGAGGGACCUCCCUGCCCCUAUCCUGGGGCUUGGAUACCUUUCCAAGUCCCUGGAACUGCCCACCCUUCCCCUGCCACCCCGUCAGGAGAUCCUAGUAUGGAGGAACAUCUGUCUGUCAUGUAUGAGAGACUGAGACAAGAGCUUCCCAAGCUCUUCCUUCAGUCCCACGACUACAGUCUGUAUUCCUUGGAUGUGGAAUUCAUCAAUGAGAUCCUCAACAUACGUACCAAGGGCCGGACAUGGUACAUUC